AAUUUGAUUUUUUUUAAAAAAAAAUAAAGGGAAAAACAAUAUUUUGAUAAUUGGUGCUCCAGAGAAGUUGGAUAGUAUUGCUCCAUAAGCUCGAAUGGACGAUGUUUUUGAUUUGUUGGGUUAAGUUGUUAUGUAUGGAAGGACAAGGAAAACAAGUUACUAGAAGAUAAUUUUUUAUUAAAGUGUUGGAUUGAGGAAGAGAAUUUUCUAGGUUUGUGCGAAAAAUGCAAGACAUCCUUUUAGUGUUGGUAGCAUGGGUAUUUUUUUUUUUUUUUUUUACACAAAAUUUGUUCAAAUAAAGGAAAAAUUUUGAAUAGAAAGGUAUUUGGAUAAUUGGUGCACAAGAAGGUUUUUUAUUGUGUUGGUUUACGAUGCAAUACCAAAAGACUAAUUCUUGAAUGAAAUGAUUCUCUCUUAAAAUGGGAGAGAGGUAUCAUAUUUAUAGAGGAAAUUAGUUACAAGAUGUGAAAUUAACUAUCAUUCAAAAGACUAAUUCUUGAAUGAAAUGAUUCUCUCUCAAAAUGGGAGAGAAGUAUCAUGGUUUGUGUUGGGCUUAUUGUAGGUGGAGGACCUAACUUUUAAGCCCAAGAUGACCCUAUUGCAAGAUCUCGAACUUCAGCUCACCAAGGACCAAGACUUGCUCCUUGAUCAGCUGAGGUUGGUGGAAGUUGUGAACAACGAGUUGCCACGAUCACAGGCUGAUCUCUUCACAGAUGGAUGGCUGAGAUGAUGCAACAACACACUCAAGGAUCAGAUCUGACCCAAUGUUGAUCGAAGCCUAGAAGUUUGAAGUACUUAUGGAGUUUAAGCUUCGCGACCGGUUUGGUGAGCAUGUCUGUAGGACUAUCAAUGUCAUUGUUUCUGGGAGCUUUGAUGGAUCUAAAAGGGCUUUAAGAGCCUUCUGCUAACUAAGUAAGGCUCUGAUCUUUACUUUCCACAGAGCAAAGUCACCCCUGCCAUCAAAUUUUUCAAUUUCCACUUUAGCUACUAUCAUAUCAGGUGAGAGAUCCCAAUCUUGAUUUUCAAGAUUUACUUUCUUGCUUACAAGAAGCUUUGAUACCACUUUUGUUGGGUUUAUUGCAGGUGGAGGACCCAACUUUCAGGCCCAAAAUGACCCUACUACAAAAUCUCGAACUUCAACCCACCAAGGACUAAGACUCGCUCCUCAUCAGCUGAGGUUGGUGGAAGUUGUGAACAACGAGUUGCCCCGAUCACAGGCUAAUCUCUUCACAGAUGGAUAGCUGAGAUGACAUGCAACAACACACUCAGGGAUCAGAUCUAAUCCAAGGUGAUUGCCUCUCACUUUCCUCUCUCUUUCAGACCUCGAUUUUAUUCUCUUUGAUGAAGGAAGAACUCUUUCUUGCUGAUUGCUUUGUAUGGUUUUUGUGUGUGUGAGAUGAAGACAAAGAGAAGAAAAGAAGAAGGAAAAGAAGAAGAAGAAGAAGAGUUUUACGUGGUUCGGCUAUGAAGAGCCUACAUCCACGGGAAGACAACUUUCUUUAAGGAAAAUUUCAUAUGAGUACAACCUUAGUUUUUUGCUAGUUUAGGUUGUAUUUUUUCUCUGUUGUUACAAGUGUGCUGAGAGCUCCCUUUAUAGAUUUAGGAAGGUCAGCUUACGAGGUGUUUGUAAAAAUAACAGAAAAACUAAGGCUUUGAGAAAAAAUUGCCGUUUUGAUUUAUUUUACAGUUUGUUUAGCCACUGUGUAGCAAUUUUUUUCUAGAAUUUUUUUUCUUUGGGUCUUUGUUUCUUCAGCAAAUAUGUUAGACAUUAAGACACUUAUUGCUAAAGUCGUCGACAAUCGCAUCCAUUCCAACUAUCCCACUGUCCAGAUAACCACCAUUCGACUUAAUAGGGAUAAUUUUCUUCGUUGGUCCUAAAGUGUUCGGAUGUAUAUGUUGGGGUGUAUGUCCUAAAGCCUCGUAGUUUUAUGUUAGUUGAAUCAAUGAUUGAUUAAUUUUGAUGAAUAUAUUACAUUGAAAUUUUUAUCAAUACAUAGUGGAAUUUUAUCUUUUAAUUUAGGAAAUGUUCUCAAAAUAUUUUUUGCCAUUUCAUGAAGUGUUCAUGAAUAAAUUUUGUAGCGAUAACUUAUUGUAAUCAUUUACAUAACAUAUGAUGUGUCUAGAUAAAAACAUGACAAAACAUAUUGUAUGUUGGAGUCAUGGGAAGCUAAAUAAUCUACAAAGUUAAGUAUCAUAGGGGUUCCAAGAAAAUUAUAAUGAGUAGAGCUAGUGAGGAAAAAGUUUCCUAAUUAGUUUGGGAUGUCAAUUAUGUUGGGAAUGGGGUCCUAAAUCUCCUAGUAGUCUCGUAGUUUGUAAACUCUG